UGGUUGAUCCUGCCAGUAGUCAUAUGCUUGUCUCAAAGAUUAAGCCAUGCAUGUCUAAGUACAGGCUUUGGUACAGCGAAACCGCGAAUGGCUCAUUAAAUCAGCUAUAAUUUAUUAGAUUGUUCUUUACUUGGAUAACUGUGGGAAUUCUAGAGCUAAUACGUGCACAAAAGCUCCGACCUUCGGGAAGGAGUGCAGUUAUUAGACCAAAACCAGCCGAGCUUCGGCUCGAACUGUUUGGUGACUCUGGAUAACGAUGAGCGGAUCGCAUGGCCUUGAGCCGGCGACGUAUCUUUCAAGUGUCUGACCUAUCAACUGACGAUGGUACGCGAUAUGCCUACCAUGGUGAUAACGGGUAACGGAGAAUAAGGGUUCGACUCCGGAGAGGGAGCCUGAGAAAUGGCUACCACAUCCAAGGAUGGCAGCAGGCGCGCAAAUUACCCACUCUCAGUACGAGGAGGUAGUGACGAAAAAUAACAAUGCGGGACUCAUCAGAGGCCUCGCAAUUGGAAUGAGCGCACUUUAAAUCGUUCGACGAGGAUCUAUUGGAGGGCAAGUCUGGUGCCAGCAGCCGCGGUAAUUCCAGCUCCAAUAGCGUAUAUUAAAGUUGUUGCAGUUAAAAAGCUCGUAGUUGGAUCUGGGGUUCGGGUCGGCGGUUUGCCGCUUCGGCGGCUACUGCCGUGCUCGACUCUUACUAGCCGGUGCGUCUUGCGGUGCUCUUCAUCGAGUGCCGUAGGAGCCUGGCAUGUUUACUUUGAAAAAAUUAGAGUGCUCAAAGCAGGCGAUUCCGCCUGAAUAGUGUUGCAUGGAAUAAUGGAAUAGGACCUCGGUUCUAUUUUGUUGGUUUUCGGAACUUGAGGUAAUGAUUAAGAGGGACGGUCGGGGGCAUUCGUAUUUCGGUGUUAGAGGUGAAAUUCUUGGAUCGCUGAAAGACGGACAAAUGCGAAAGCAUCUGCCAAGAACGUCUCCAUUAAUCAAGAUCGAAAGUCAGAGGUUCGAAGACGAUCAGACACCGUCCUAGUUCUGACCAUAAACGAUGCCAACUAGCGAUCCGCAGUGGUUGCUAUAAACGGACUCUGCGAGCAGCUUCCGGGAAACCAAAGUGUUUGGGUUCCGGGGGAAGUAUGGUUGCAAAGCUGAAACUUAAAGGAAUUGACGGAAGGGCACCACCAGGAGUGGAGCCUGCGGCUUAAUUUGACUCAACACGGGGAAACUCACCCGGUCCGGACACUGUAAGGAUUGACAGAUCGAGAGCUCUUUCUUGAUUCGGUGGAUGGUGGUGCAUGGCCGUUCUUAGUUGGUGGAGUGAUUUGUCUGGUUAAUUCCGAUAACGAACGAGACUCUAGCCUGCUAACUAGUUGCGCCGUGUUCAUACGCGGCUGUAGACUUCUUAGAGGGACAGGU
rnacentral:rRNA from 1 species